UGCAGGUAGAGCUCUGUUGAGUUUUCAGGCUUUGAUAAAUUUGUAGUUCCCUGUCUGCCAUGUUUGAAGUUCUUUGUAGUCUCUGUCCAUAGGUUUCACCUGAACAACCCCUCUGCUGGCCGAGAAAAGGAACUACCCAUGGUUUCUCUCACACCCAGCCCCCAGAGCACGCUCGCUUUCAAGGCGUUAUGGCCGCACCCAACGUGGGAGGGAGACACCCUUAUCUAGAGAGCGUGUUCUCCUGAAGGAGGGAGAGAGUCACAGGGAGACACGCAGUGGAUAUUCACAUUAUGGCUAAUUUGUUUUUCUUUAAGUUUAGUUUUAGUUUUGUUUUUUAUUCAGGAUGAUGAACAUCCUGACACAGUUAUCAUUCAGGAUGAAGAACAUCAAAGUUCAUGAGGAGGUUAUAAGGACAAUAACGUUGAUACUUUAAUAGGACAACAGUGAUGAUAAUCUAAUGCAAUUGGACUAAAGAAGGUGUUGCUAUUAACUAAGUGAUUCAUAUUAUUUUCACACAGGAAAGAAUAAUUGAAUAAAUAUGGAUAUGAUUAAAGAAGGAGAAUAAUAAUAAAAUAAAGUAAUCUU